CGAAGUAUAGCAUAUUUAAUGCUUUUUACCUACACUAAAAAUAAGGCAUCUGUCUACUUCGC
rnacentral:tRNA from 1 species